GACAGGGUGUUGGUUUGUUUCCAGCCGAGUCAGUUCUCUAUUGCUGUACACGCCAGUGUUGCAGGUGAACAACUAGCGGAGACUUGUUCACUAGAUGUUAAGGGAUACAGUCGUGGAGAGAGGAGCCUUGAAGAGCUCGGAAUGGGUGGUUCCGUUCUUUGCCAGAAAUUUGUUCGAAGUGAGGACUCUGGUUCUCCUAGGUCAACUCUGAAAUGCUGCUGGGAAGAGGAAGAAGAGGAUUAGUUCCAAUUUAUAUUUUCUUUAUGGUUUGUAUCUGUGUUUAAAUAAAAUAAUUGCUUUCAGGCUAUGCCUGAUGACAGCAAUCUUAGUAGUCUUUUCUAUUGUCUUUGAUUUU
rnacentral:misc_RNA from 1 species